rnacentral:rRNA from 1 species
GAUGAACGCUGGCGGCGUGCCUAAUACAUGCAAGUCGAGCGAACAGACGAGGAGCUUGCUCCUCUGACGUUAGCGGCGGACGGGUGAGUAACACGUGGAUAACCUACUUCUAAGACUGGGAUAACUUCGGGAAACCGGAGCUAAUACCGGAUAAUAUAUUGAACCGCAUGGUUCAAUAGUUAAUGACGGCUUUGCUGUCACUUAUAGAUGGAUCCGCGCCGCAUUAGCUAGUUGGUAAGGUAACGGCUUACCAAGGCGACGAUGCGUAGCCGACCUGAGAGGGUGAUCAGCCACACUGGAACUGAGACACGGUCCAGACUCCUACGGGAGGCAGCAGUAGGGAAUCUUCCGCAAUGGGCGAAAGCCUGACGGAGCAACGCCGCGUGAGUGAUGAAGGUCUUCGGAUCGUAAAACUCUGUUAUUGGGGAAGAACAAAUGUGUAAGUAACUAUGCACGUCUUGACGGUACCUAAUCAGAAAGCCACGGCUAACUACGUG